rnacentral:misc_RNA from 1 species
GUACACUCAUUUAACAAUAAAAUAUUAUGUACACAAAAUAUUAAUUAAACCACUUAGAAAAUGGGUUUUUCUCAGUUGGCUAUAGUGUCCCAUUAUCUAAAUUAAUCUAAAUUAUUAAAGGUUUUUCUUCUAAUUUAAUCUCAGGACAAUGAUGUUUUAUUUAUCACUUUAUUAUGUGACAUAGUGAAAUGUACACUCAUUUAAUAAUAAAAUA